GACGAACGCUGGCGGCGUGCCUAAUACAUGCAAGUUGAGCGCUGAAGGUUGGUACUUGUCCCAACUGGAUGAGCAGCGAACGGGUGAGUAACGCGUGGGGAAUCUGCCUUUGAGCGGGGGACAACAUUUGGAAACGAAUGCUAAUACCGCAUAAAAACUUUAAACACAAGUUUUAAGUUUGAAAGAUGCAAUUGCAUCACUCAAAGAUGAUCCCGCGUUGUAUUAGCUAGUUGGUGAGGUAAAGGCUCACCAAGGCGAUGAUACAUAGCCGACCUGAGAGGGGGAUCGGCCACAAUGGGACGGAGACACGGCCCAAACUCCUACGGGAGGCAGCAGUAGGGAAUCUUGGGAAAUGGACGAAAGUCUGACCGGGCUACGCCGCGGGAGGGGAGAAGGGUUUCGGAUCGUAAAACUCUGUUGGUAGAGAAGAACGUUGGUGAGAGUGGAAAGCUCAUCAAGUGACGGUAACUACCCAGAAAGGGACGGCUAACUACGUG
rnacentral:rRNA from 1 species